UGGGUUCACUCGAUGCUGAGUCUUACUCUAAACUGAUUAGAAACUGGACUGAAUUCUAAACUAUUCUAGGCUGGACUGAACUGUUACUGAUCGUAUUGUAUAACUGAACUGAACUGAGUUCACUGUGUUUCGUGGAAUGAUGAAAUACAACUAAAUUCUGUUUACUGACUGAGUACUACUGAGCUUUCCUGAAUUCUGUAACUGACUGAAUUCUACUGAUCGUGGCAUGUUUGAUACUACUCCGUGAC
rnacentral:lncRNA from 1 species